rnacentral:rRNA from 1 species
UACGAAGGGGGCUAGCGUUGCUCGGAAUCACUGGGCGUAAAGGGUGCGUAGGCGGGUCUUUUAAGUCAGGGGUGAAAUCCUGGAGCUCAACUCCAGAACUGCCUUUGAUACUGAAGAUCUUGAGUUCGGGAGAGGUGAGUGGAACUGCGAGUGUAGAGGUGAAAUUCGUAGAUAUUCGCAAGAACACCAGUGGCGAAGGCGACUCU